CAGCCGCCGUGGUAAUACAGAGGGUGCAAGCGUUAAUCGGAAUUACUGGGCGUAAAGCGCGCGUAGGUGGUUUGUUAAGUUGGAUGUGAAAUCCCCGGGCUCAACCUGGGAACUGCAUCCAAAACUGGCAAGCUAGAGUAUGGUAGAGGGUGGUGGAAUUUCCUGUGUAGCGGUGAAAUGCGUAGAUAUAGGAAGGAACACCAGUGGCGAAGGCGACCACCUGGACUGAUACUGACACUGAGGUGCGAAAGCGUGGGGAGCAAACAGGAUUAGAUACCCCGGUAGUCCCUGUCUCUUAUAC
rnacentral:rRNA from 1 species